CCAGAUCUAAACAAUGUUAUUGAUUUUGAUUGCUGUAGCAAUGAGGUUACGGUUACAGAACAACGGAUAUUACAAAAAAAAAUGCGUGUAAAAACGGGAGAACCAAUUUUUGUGUUUUCAAAAGUCGGAAAAUUUUGUGGAAGUGAGAAUAAGUGAAUAAUUGUGAGCUUUUUAAUCGUCUCGUCUUCACUCGAGCUUUCAAUUUGCAUACAAAUACCAUUGUUUUGGAACGAAUUUCCAGAACUGCAGAGCUUGCGUUUUGCACACACCCACGAGACGCGGUCACUUUGGCAAUUUGUUGUACAUAUGUACAGUGACGAACUAAAUUUUUGGCACAGUAAGCUUUUUAAACUUUCUGGCCACCGUGUGACCCUUGGAAUGAAAAUAAAUCGUAAAAAGUAUAUUGAACAAAGAGAUUAAAGUAUUUAUUAUACAUAAACAAAAAACUUAUUUCAAAAACUUAAACAUAGUAAUAGUAAAAAUUAAAGAACUAAAAAAUAAGGUAUAUUUCGAUGAACAAAAUUAUUGGCACACCCCAAGAAAAACUUAAAAAUAAGAUACAUAUGUUAAAAAUUUUUAAUAUUUGGUGUUUAAUCCCUUAGCCUUAAUGACGGCCGAUAAGCGAGCUGGCAUCGAGUCUACUAAUUUUUUAGUAGUUUCCUCCCCUAUAUUUUGCCAUUCUUCCAUUAAGGCUUGUUUUAGGUCGGCUUUUGUCCUUAUAGCCCGCUUUCUAAUGCGCCUAUCCAAUUCCUCCCACAAAUGUUCAAUUGGAUUGAGGUCCGGGGACUGUGGUGGGUGUGGCAGAACAUGGGCGGUAUUGUAAGUAAGCCACAUUUUGACUAUAUGGGCCGAAUGCUUGGGGUCGUUGUCUUGCUGAAAUGUGAAGGAAUUUGGUAAAUUAAGAUUUUCGACACUUUUUUUAGGUUAUCCUUCAAAAUAUUCAGAUAGAUAUUUUUGUCCAUUAUGCCGUCUAUAAAUACCAAUUCACCCACACCAGCAGCAGACAUGCAACCCCACACCAUGACACUUCCACCACCAUGCUUAACAGUUGGAGUUAUGUUUUGAUUGUCGAACUCGGUAUUUGGCUUUCUACACACUGUUUGAAAUCCAUCCGAUCGGAAAAUAUUGAAUUUACUUUCAUCGGAAAAUAGCACCUGUUGCCAGAAAUCUUUGGGCUUAGUUAUAAACUCCUUGGCGUAGUUCAGACGUUUUUUUUUAUUAGUCUCCGAGAUCAAAGGUUUUCGUCGAGCCACACGCUCAUGGUAGUUGGCCUCGUGUAGUACUCGGCGUACCGUAAUCGGGUGAACAUCCGAACAUGCAAGUGCAGGAUUAUUUUCCUCUGCGCUACGGUGGUUUCCUUUUGUUUCGGUGGCAUAUUGACAGCAAAAAUCAAAACAAGCCCAAUUUAAGCGCAACUUUAAAUUUCCAAAUGCUAAUUUGCAAAAUUUUAAAUAACGGGAUAACCAGGCUGCCAUAUUUCCAAAAAAAA